AGAGUUUGAUCCUGGCUCAGAACGAACGCUGGCGGCGUGCUUAAGACAUGCAAGUCGUGCGAGAAAGGGACUUCGGUCCCGAGUACAGCGGCGCACGGGUGAGUAACGCGUGGGUAAUCUGCCUUCGGGUUCGGGACAACUCGGGGAAACCUGAGCUAAUACCGGGCAAGACUACGGAUUCUUCGGAUUCUGCAGCAAAAGAUGGCCUCUGCUUGCAAGCUAUCGCCUGAAGAUGAGCCCGCGUCCCAUUAGCUAGUUGGUGAGGUAAUGGCUCACCAAGGCAGUGAUGGGUAGCUGGUCUGAGAGGACGAUCAGCCACACUGGAACUGAGACACGGUCCAGACUCCUACGGGAGGCAGCAGUCGGGAAUUUUGGGCAAUGGGGGCAACCCUGACCCAGCAACGCCGCGUGAGCGAUGAAGGCCUUCGGGUCGUAAAGCUCUGUCGAGAGGGAAGAAGGCUCUCGGGGUGAAUAAUCUCGGGGGAUUGACGGUACCUCUAGAGGAAGCGCCGGCUAACUCCGUGCCAGCAGCCGCGGUAAUACGGAGGGCGCAAGCGUUGUUCGGAAUCACUGGGCGUAAAGCGCGUGUAGGCGGCCUGGCAAGUCGGGUGUGAAAGCCCGGGGCUCAACCCCGGAACUGCACUCGAAACUGCCUGGCUCGAGUCCCGGAGAGGGUGGCGGAAUUCCCGGUGUAGAGGUGAAAUUCGUAGAUAUCGGGAGGAACACCAGUGGCGAAGGCGGCCACCUGGACGGUGACUGACGCUGAGACGCGAAAGCGUGGGGAGCAAACAGGAUUAGAU
rnacentral:rRNA from 1 species